rnacentral:rRNA from 1 species
GAUGAACGCUGGCGGCGUGCCUAAUACAUGCAAGUCGAGCGAACAGACGAGGAGCUUGCUCCUCUGACGUUAGCGGCGGACGGGUGAGUAACACGUGGAUAACCUACCUAUAAGACUGGGAUAACUUCGGGAAACCGGAGCUAAUACCGGAUAAUAUAUUGAACCGCAUGGUUCAAUAGUGAAAGACGGUUUUGCUGUCACUUAUAGAUGGAUCCGCGCCGCAUUAGCUAGUUGGUAAGGUAACGGCUUACCAAGGCAACGAUGCGUAGCCGACCUGAGAGGGUGAUCGGCCACACUGGAACUGAGACACGGUCCAGACUCCUACGGGAGGCAGCAGUAGGGAAUCUUACGCAAUGGGCGAAAGCCUGACGGAGCAACGCCGCGUGAGUGAUGAAAGUCUUCGGAUCGUAAAACUCUGUUAUUAGGGAAGAACAAAUGUGUAAGUAACUAUGCACGUCUUGACGGUACCUAAUCAGAAAGCCACGGCUAACUACGUG